rnacentral:rRNA from 1 species
UAGUCAUAUGCUUGUCUCAAAGAUUAAGCCAUGCAUGUCUAAGUAUAAACAAGUUUAUACUGUGAAACUGCGCACAGCUCAUUAUAUCAGCAAUAAUUUAUUUGAUGGUACCUUACUACAUGGAUACCCGUAGUAAUUCUAGAGCUAAUACAUGCGUAAAGUCCCGACUCUUCUGGGAAGGGAUGUAUUUAUUAGAUUUGGUGAUUCAUAGUAACUGUUCGAAUCGCAUGGCCUCGUGCUGGCGAUAGUUCAUUCAAAUUUCUGCCCUAUCAGCUUU